rnacentral:rRNA from 1 species
UUUGUUUUAAGAUAUAAAGGGAUUUUUCAAAUAUUUUAAGGUAGAAUUUUAAUUUUUGAGAAAAACAAUAAAUUAAAACAUAAAAAUUAUAUUAUGGACCAGGAUUAGAUACCCUGUUACUUAUUAAUUAAAAAAUUUUGGAAUAGUAGUUAUUAUGAAAUUUAACUGAUUUGGCGGCAAAAUAGCCAUUUAGAGGAACCUGCCCUAUAAACGAUGAACCACGAAGUACCCUACUUUUAUUUGUAAACAGUUUGUAUACCUCUGUUGUCAGUCAGUUUUAUAAGAAAACUUUCUAUUAUGAUAAGAUCAUGAAAUUCAAGUAAAGGUGCAGCUUAUAUAAAAGAUAGAGGUGGGUUACAUUUAUAUGAUUAAAACGGAUAAAGAUAUUUGAAAAAACUUUUGAAGGCGGAUUUAAAUGUAAAGUUUAAGCAAACUUGAUGUGAGCUCUAUUUUGUGUACACACCGCCCGUCGCUCUCUUUUUUAAAA